ACGAACGCUGGCGGCACGCUUAACACAUGCAAGUCGAACGAGAGAAGAGAAGCUUGCUUUUCUGAUCUAGUGGCGGACGGGUGAGUAACACGUGAGCAAUCUGCCUUUCAGAGGGGGAUACCGAUUGGAAACGAUCGUUAAUACCGCAUAACAUAAUUGAACCGCAUGAUUUGAUUAUCAAAGAUUUAUCGCUGAAAGAUGAGCUCGCGUCUGAUUAGCUAGUUGGUAAGGUAACGGCUUACCAAGGCGACGAUCAGUAGCCGGACUGAGAGGUUGAUCGGCCACAUUGGGACUGAGACACGGCCCAGACUCCUACGGGAGGCAGCAGUGGGGAAUAUUGCACAAUGGAGGAAACUCUGAUGCAGCGAUGCCGCGUGAGGGAAGAAGGUUUUAGGAUUGUAAACCUCUGUCUUCAGGGACGAAAAAAGACGGUACCUGAGGAGGAAGCUCCGGCUAACUACGUGCCAGCAGCCGCGGUAAUACGUAGGGAGCGAGCGUUGUCCGGAAUUACUGGGUGUAAAGGGAGCGUAGGCGGGAUUGCAAGUCAGAUGUGAAAACUAUGGGCUUAACCCAUAAACUGCAUUUGAAACUGUGGUUCUUGAGUGAAGUAGAGGUAAGCGGAAUUCCUAGUGUAGCGGUGAAAUGCGUAGAUAUUAGGAGGAACAUCAGUGGCGAAGGCGGCUUACUGGGCUUUAACUGACGCUGAGGCUCGAAAGCGUGGGGAGCAAACAGGAUUAGAUACCCUGGUAGUCCACGCCGUAAACGAUGAUUACUAGGUGUGGGGGGACUGACCCCUUCCGUGCCGCAGCAAACGCAAUAAGUAAUCCACCUGGGGAGUACGACCGCAAGGUUGAAACUCAAAGGAAUUGACGGGGGCCCGCACAAGCAGUGGAGUAUGUGGAUUAAUUCGAAGCAACGCGAAGAACCUUACCAGGUCUUGACAUCGUAUGCAUAGCUCAGAGAUGAGUGAAAUCUCUUCGGAGACAUAUAGACAGGUGGUGCAUGGUUGUCGUCAGCUCGUGUCGUGAGAUGUUGGGUUAAGUCCCGCAACGAGCGCAACCCUUACUGUUAGUUGCUACGCAAGAGCACUCUAGCAGGACUGCCGUUGACAAAACGGAGGAAGGUGGGGAUGACGUCAAAUCAUCAUGCCCCUUAUGACCUGGGCCUCACACGUACUACAAUGGCUGUCAACAGAGGGAAGCAAAGCCGCGAGGUGGAGCAAACCCCUAAAAGCAGUCUUAGUUCGGAUUGUAGGCUGCAACCCGCCUACAUGAAGUCGGAAUUGCUAGUAAUCGCAGAUCAGCAUGCUGCGGUGAAUACGUUCCCGGGCCUUGUACACACCGCCCGUCACGCCAUGGGAGUCGGUAACACCCGAAGCCUGUAGUCUAACCGCAAGGAGGACGCAGUCGAAGGUGGGAUUGAUGACUGGGGUG
rnacentral:rRNA from 1 species